rnacentral:rRNA from 1 species
GACGAACGCUGGCGGCGUGCCUAAUACAUGCAAGUCGAACGCAGUGGGGCCGGGUGAGUAACACGUGGGUAACCUCCCAUCAGAGGGGAUAACACUUGGAAACAGGUGCUAAACCGAUACUGAUGGAUGAACCCGCGGUGCAUUAGCUAGUUGGUGAGGUAACGGCGCACCAAGGCCACGAUGCAUAGCCGGCCUGAGAGGAUGAUCAGCCACACUGUAACUGAGACACGGCCAAGACUCCUACGGGAGGCAGCAGUAGGGAAUCUUCGACAAUGGGCGAAAGUCUGACCGAGCAACGCCGCGUGAGUGAAGAAGGUUUUCGGAUCGUAAAACUCUUUUGUUAGGGAGGCGGUAUCUAACCAGAAAGCCACGGCUAACUACGUGCCAGCAGCCGCGGUAAUUC